AUCACAGGCAGACAGUCAUACAUACACAUAACACAAUCACAGACAGUCACACACACACAAUCACAGACAGUCAGAGAGUCAGGCAGACAAUCACACAGACAAUCACAGGCAAUCACACAGACAAUCACAGGCAGUCACACACACACACACACACACACACAAGCAGACAAUCACACACACAGUCAAAGACAGUCACAAUCACAGUUACACACACACAGCACACACUCUCUCACUUACAGUAAGCUUGGGCUGGAGUAGGAGUGGUUUCAGUCCCUCCUGUGCUGUAGUUGGGGAAGCAAUGACUCCUUCCUGCUUCCCCUCUGUCUGCAGCAGUAUGAGGCUGCAUUUAGCUCCACCCCCACGGCCGAUCUGGUGUGUUUUUCUGUACCUGGAGAUAAGUAAUUAUUUCUCAGACGCAGA